CUUCUUUCUCAUUACUUCUAGGUUUAUUCUACAGGCCCCCAUUCAUUCCUCAGGAGUAACGCAGAAGGGACACUGACCAGCACAGCAGAGAGGGAGGUGUUUAAAAUGGAUUCUGUGGGUGUAGAGCCACUGUUUUCCCUGCAAAUGGUCUAGUCAGCAGGUAUUCAAAAGGCGGAAGUCUAAAGAGGCCAAAGGAGAUGUUGAGUCACUGUGAAAUGCUCCUAAUUAGUAUGCCAACCUUUCCACCAGGACCCUGAGGUGAGCAACACUCUGUGCCACACUA
rnacentral:lncRNA from 1 species